UCGAACGGAAACGAUGCUAGCUUGCUAGCAGGCGUCGAGUGGCGGANGNUGAGUAAUGUAUAGGGAUCUGCCUAGUAGUGGGGGACAACAUGUGGAAACGCAUGCUAAUACCGCAUACGCUCUACGGAGGAAAGUGGGGGACCUUUCGGGGCCUCAUGCUACUAGAUGAACCUAUAUUGGAUUAGCUUGUUGGUAAGGUAAUGGCUUACCAAGGCGACGAUCCAUAGCUGGUUUGAGAGAAUGAUCAGCCACACUGGGACUGAGACACGGCCCAGACUCCUACGGGAGGCAGCAGUGGGGAAUAUUGCACAAUGGACGAAAGUCUGAUGCAGCAAUGCCGCGUGUGUGAAGAAGGCCUUAGGGUUGUAAAGCACUUUCAGACGUGAGGAAAAGUAAUAAUUUAAUAAAUUAUUACCUUGACGUUAACGUCAGAAGAAGGACCGGCUAACUCCGUGCCAGCAGCCGCGGUAAUACGGAGGGUCCAAGCGUUAAUCGGAAUUACUGGGCGUAAAGCGCGCGUAGGCGGAUAUUUAAGUCAGAUGUGAAAUCCCUGGGCUCAACCUAGGAACUGCAUUUGAUACUGGAUAUCUAGAGUAUGGUAGAGGUGAGUGGAAUUUCAGGUGUAGCGGUGAAAUGCGUAGAGAUCUGAAGGAACAUCAGUGGCGAAGGCGACUCACUGGGCCAUUACUGACGCUGAGGUGCGAAAGCGUGGGUAGCAAACAGGAUUAGAUACCCUGGUAGUCCACGCCCUAAACGAUGUCAACUAGGUGUAUGGGAGUUUAACUCCUGUGUAUC
rnacentral:rRNA from 1 species